CCUGUAGUCCCAGCUACUCGGGAAGCUGAGGCAGGAGAAUCGCUUGAACCCAGGAUGCAGAGGUUGCAGUGAGCUGAUGUUGCGCCACUGCAGUGCAGCCUGCCAACAGAGUAAGACCCGUCUCAACAACAACAACAAAAAAGAAGAAAAUUUUUAGGAGACAAUGGUUUUCUAAGAGACUUCAGAACCAUUCCCUGGAGUGAAUUAUUUCCAAUGGUGAAGAGUAAUGGAUGGAUGGCAUGAGAUUCUCAAAAAAAUCUUGCUCCUAUUUCAGAAGUGUCACUCCAGCCCCUUGAAGGUCCAGGAAACCUGGCUGAGUAGUGUGGUCUAUGGAGGUGCAUGGGCUUCAGAAUCAGGCCAACGUUGAUCCUGAGUCCCAGCCAGCUGCUUAGUAGCUGUGGGAUAGUUAUACAAGACACAUCUGCAAGAAAAGUCAUGAUAAAAUUGAUUGCAAAAACAGCAAUUUGAAAAUUUUCUUAUUGUAUUCAUGUCCUUGGAAAUGGCUUUUAUAGUCAUUCCUAUCAAGAGACAGAUUCUGUUUCCCAAACCUUGGACCUCUCUUGACUUAUCUGCACUGGCACAGGGUGCCAGUUUGGGGCCCAGGUUUAAAGGUCCUAAAUGCUUCUGUUAUCUUUUUCAGAAUUCUUCCAUCUCUAUGACAACAAGCCCAUUUUAGCUUUCUGGAGAAUAGCAUCUGAGAAAAGCCAAAGUGCCUCAAUUUACAGACAGCUCACUCACAGAAGCAGAGCCACCUAAUUCACCAGCAUCUAACCACUCACACCUGAAGGAGCCAAACUGAGCCCAGAAGAAUGGC
rnacentral:sRNA from 1 species